GACGAACGCUGGCGGCGUGCUUAACACAUGCAAGUCGAACGGAAAGGCCCCUUUAGUGGUACUCGAGUGGCGCACGGGUGCGUAACACGUGCGUAACCUGCCCUUGACUUCGGGAUAACUUCAGGAAACUGGGGCUAAUACCGGUUCUGAAUCCUUGCUUCAUGGGGGGGGUUGGAAAGCUUCGGCGGUUUUGGAUGGACUCGCGGCUUAUAAGCUUGUUGUUGGGGUAGUGGCUUACCAAGGCUUUGACGGGUAGCCGGCCUGUGAGGGCGACCGGCCACGUUGGGACUGAGAAACGGCCGAGGUACCCAAGGUAGGCAGCAGUGGGGAAUAUUGCACAAGGGACGGAAGCCUGAUGCAGAAACGCCGCGUGCGGGAUGACGGCCUUCGGGUUGUAAAACGCUUUCAGCAGGGGCGAAGCUUGUGGUGACGGUACCUGCAGAAGAAGCAACGGCUAACUACGUG
rnacentral:rRNA from 1 species